GACUCCUUAACUCAGUUGGUAGAGUAACGGACUUUUAAUCCGUGAGGCAUGGGUUCAAGUCCCAUAGGAGUCA
rnacentral:tRNA from 1 species